UAAGGAAUAUUGGACAAUGGAGGCAACUCUGAUCCAGCCAUGCCGCGUGAAGAAAUAAGGCCCUAUGGGUUGUAAACUUCUUUUAGACGGGGCAAAACCCCUUUACGUGUAAAGGGUUGAUGGUACUGUCAGAAUAAGCAUCGGCUAACUUCGUGCCAGCAGCCGCGGUAAUACGAAGGAUGCAAGCGUUAUCCGGAAUUAUUGGGUUUAAAGGGUGCGUAGGCGGACUAAUAAGUCAGUGGUGAAAGCCUGCAGCUUAACUGCAGAACUGCCUUUGAUACUUUUAUUCUUGAGUUCGGGAGAGAGAGACGGAAUUCCAGGUGUAGUGGUGAAAUACGUAGAUAUCUGGAAGAACACCAGUUGCGAAGGCGGUCUCUUGGUCCGACACUGACGCUGAGGCGCGAAAGCGUGGGGAGCAAACA
rnacentral:rRNA from 1 species